AGCGAACGCUGGCGGCAGGCCUAACACAUGCAAGUCGAACGAACCUUUCGGGGUUAGUGGCGGACGGGUGAGUAACACGUGGGAACGUGCCUUUAGGUUCGGAAUAACUCAGGGAAACUUGUGCUAAUACCGAAUGUGCCCUUCGGGGGAAAGAUUUAUCGCCUUUAGAGCGGCCCGCGUCUGAUUAGCUAGUUGGUUGAGGUAAUGGCUCACCAAGGCGACGAUCAGUAGCUGGUCUGAGAGGAUGAUCAGCCACAUUGGGACUGAGACACGGCCCAAACUCCUACGGGAGGCAGCAGUGGGGAAUCUUGCGCAAUGGGCGAAAGGCUGACGCAGCCAUGCCGCGUGAAUGAUGAAGGUCUUAGGAUUGUAAAAUUCUUUCACCGGGGACGAUAAUGACGGUACCCGGAGAAGAAGCCCCGGCUAACUUCGUG
rnacentral:rRNA from 1 species